GCUUACGGCCACACCUCCCUGAGCACGCCCGAUCUCGUCUGAUCUCGGAAGCUGAGCAGGGUCGGGCCCGGUUAGUACUUGGAUGUGAGACCGCCUGGGAAUACCUGGUGCUGUAAGCC
ensembl:rRNA 5S_rRNA 5S ribosomal RNA